rnacentral:lncRNA from 10 species
AAGAUGGUAUCUUAUCAUACUAUGAUUCUCAGUGAUCCAAACUUGGUUACUUAGCAGGUGACUUUCCUGGCCUUGUUCAAGGUGUUUUCACCACACAAACAACUCUUAAUUGUCUACUUGGUGAUGAGCCCAGAUACCUGGAAUCCAUAGAAAAUUCCUAACAUGAUUUUACCCAAUAGUUUCUAAUCUUUCAUCAGACUGCUGAGGCAGCAGCAACAGUGUUGACAGACUGAGGUUUCAUCAUCCUGCCCUCCCCUGCUGCCUGUCUCUGCCCACCCUCUACCCCCGGGAAAGUGCUGGAGCAGAGGGAGGGUUCAGGGAGGCAAUAUUGAGAAGGAACAUGCCAGCUGGGGGUCUGGAUAAUCCACAAACUGGAUUAUCUGUCCCUGACUUUGCAUAGAUGUAAGCAGGUGGCCUAUAUGUAGACAGGAUGUACUGGGAUGAGCCAUGGGCAUCUGGUUAACGUGUGUGUGUAUAUGGGGGGGUGGUCCUACAAUAAAUUCCCCCACCUACUUAUCUCCCAUCCAGAGCAUUAAUUCAACCAAUCACUCCUUCUUUCAAUUAACCACAUAUAAUAUGAAUAGUAUUUAGCAUUAUUUACUGUAGUUUCAUAGUGAGAGACUAGAAUUUUUUUUUUUUUUUUCAAGACGGAGUCUUGCUCUGUCGCCUAGGCUGGAGUGUAGUGGCGCGAUCCAGGCUCACUACAACCUCUGCCUCCUGAGUUCAAGUGAUUGUCCUGCCUCAGCCUCCUGAGCAGCUGGGAUGACAGGCUCACGCCACCAGGCCUGGCUAAUUUUUGUAUUUUUAGUAGAGACGGGGU